CUGUGUGAAGCAACCACCACUCUUAUAGCUGAUUGGCCGGAGAAGGCUCACAACAUGCUUUUGAAGCCCGGUGGUGGGCAUCUCUCCCUCUGAGUCUUCUGUUGCCUGCAGUCCAGCUUGGUCUUAUUAUAUCACCACAAAGCGAUCGACUUGUGAUGCGUCUCCCGCAGCUGGUAUGUUGAAGAAUCAUCUCAGAGGAUGAAACUUUAAAAAAAUAAAUAAUCCCAGACCAACAGAGAGAAGAGGAAACAGACGAGGUAACAGAAAGUGGAGUUUAGAGAAGCUGAGAGGAAACUGAGCUGUGCAGAAAAAAAGGAGAAAAGGAAUCAGUGAAACUAAAAACAGAACGGGACGCUUUGUCGAUGAGCUCAGUCAAUAGGAAAACAAAUGAAGCACCAAUCUGUUGGAUCUUUAGGAAAGAUGGUCCCUUAUCUGCACUGCAGGGGGAUUAGUCUACAUGACAACAAGCCGCACUGACAGCAGGUUAAUAAAGACGGCCACUUCGUGGUUUGGAAAGAAAAGCAGAACGAAUCGACGGAAGGAGCAAAGAGGGAGAGGCUGACGUGAUGGAGGUGCAUCAUGUUGAUUAACCUAAUCCAACGUGGACACUAACGGAGCCAGGAGAGGAUUAGUCCACACAGAGAGUCAUUUCAGCGCUCGUGUCUAGUGGUGUGAGGGAGUUUUGGGCAUGCUGAAGAGUUUACACUUCAAACUUUGAGACUGCAGCAUGCGGCACG
ensembl:lncRNA